rnacentral:rRNA from 1 species
CCUACGGGAGGCUGCAGUGAGGAAUAUUGGUCAAUGGACGAGAGUCUGAACCAGCCAAGUAGCGUGAAGGAUGACUGCCCUAUGGGUUGUAAACUUCUUUUAUAAAGGAAUAAAACGAGGCACGUGUGCCUUUUUGCAUGUACUUUAUGAAUAAGGAUCGGCUAACUCCGUGCCAGCAGCCGCGGUAAUACGGAGGAUCCGAGCGUUAUCCGGAUUUAUUGGGUUUAAAGGGAGCGUAGAUGGGUUGUUAAGUCAGUUGUGAAAGUUUGCGGCUCAACCGUAAAAUUGCAAUUGAUACUGGCAGUCGUGAGUACAGUUGAGGUAGGCGGAAUUCGUGGUGUAGCGGUGAAAUGCUUAGAUAGCACGAAGAACCCCGAUUGCGAAGGCAGCUUACUAAACUGUGACUGACAUUGAUGCUCGAAAGUGUGGGUAUCAAACAGGAUUAGAUACCCGUGUAGUC